rnacentral:rRNA from 1 species
UACGUAGGGGGCGAGCGUUGUCCGGAAUUACUGGGCGUAAAGGGCACGCAGGCUGUUUUUCAAGUCAUCUGUAAAAGGAUGCGGCUUAACCGUGUUAAGCAGAUGGGACAGAGAGACUGGAGUGCUGGAGAGGCAAGCGGAAUUCCCUGUGCAGCGGUGAAAUGCGUAGAUAUAGGGAAGAACAUCGGUGGCGAAGGCGGCUUGCUGGCCAGUAACUGACGCUGAGGUGCGAAAGCCAGGGUAGCAAACG